rnacentral:rRNA from 1 species
AAUCUUUGACCUCAAAUCAGGUAGGAAUACCCGCUGAACUUAAGCAUAUCAAUAAGCGGAGGAAAAGAAACCAAGGGAUUGCCUUAGUAACGGCGAGUGAAGCGGCAAAAGCUCAAAUUUGAAAUCUGGGGUCUUUGGCCUCCGAGUUGUAAUUUGAAGAAAGUAUCUUUGGAUUUAGCCUUUUUCUAAGUUCCUUGGAACAGGACUUCAUAGAGGGUGAGAAUCCCGUAUGGAGAAGUGUCUAUUUCUAUGUAAAGUGCUUUCGACGAGUCGAGUUGUUUGGGAAUGCAGCUCUAAGUGGGUGGUAAAUUCCAUCUAAAGCUAAAUAUUGGCGAGAGACCGAUAGCGAACAAGUACAGUGAUGGAAAGAUGAAAAGAACUUUGAAAAGAGAGUGAAAAAGUACCGUGAAAUUGUUAAAAGGGAAGGGCUUCAGAUCAGACUUGAUGUUUAGUGAUCCAUCUUCCUUUUUGGUUGGUGCACGCGCUUUUCAUUGGGCCAACAUCGAUUUGAGUGGUAGGAUAAUGCCGUUGGAAUGUAGCUUCAUUCGUGAAGUGUUAUAGACUUCGGUGAUACUGCCCAUUUGGAUCGAGGACUGCGUCUUUUGACUAGGAUGUUGGCGUAAUGAUCU